UGCCAGCCGCCGCGGUAAGACGGAGGGUGCAAACGUUGUUCGGAAUCACCGGGCAUAAAGCGCACGUAGGCGGCUUGGUCAGUCUGUUGUGAAAGCCCUCGGCUCAACCGGGGAAUUGCAUCGGAUACUGCCAGGCUUGAGGACGGUUGGGUGAGUGGAACUCCUGGUGGAGCGGUGAAAUGCGUAGAUAUCAGGAGGAACACCAGUGGCGAAAGCGGCUCACUGGAUCUUUUCUGACGCUGAGGCACGAAAGCUAGGGUAGCGAACGGGAUUAGAUA
rnacentral:rRNA from 1 species